GGGCCUGUAGCUCAGAGGAUUAGAG
rnacentral:tRNA from 1 species